AUCAAUCGAAGAGGCGCAGCCGACAUAAGUAACAAUUCUGAGUUGGGCAAAACGAAGAUGAAUUGUAAAAGGGGAGGUUGCCGAAGCUGAGUCAUGCUAAAGGCUUGAGCUGGGGCGUAGUUGAAUAAACUGCGGACUGUCGCGAACAAAAUUCGCGGAGCGCUAUCGACCAUA
rfam:Lactobacillus crispatus ST1 complete genome, strain ST1